CAGUGCCUGUGCUGUCUGCUGAUAUCACAAUAAAGCUUGUGUUAGUUUACAGGCUGUGUUUGAAAAUGGCAGUAAAGGACCUGAUUGGAAUUAAUGAUAAUAGUCAUAAUAAUUAAGGACCAGGACCUGUUCUAAUGGAAAAGGAUGGAAGAACAGAGGGAUUUAUAUGUGCUACAUGUGGAUCUGUAAUCUAUGUGCUGUGAGUUGGUUAAGUAUCCAGUGUCUUCAGAAGCAUUAUUCAAUAAAUAUGUCAUUUGAAAAUAUACAGAUUAGGUGCUAAUAUAUCACACAUAGGAAAAUGCCUUAUAUAUCCUUCAAGAACUUAGAAGAUAUGUGGAUUAAGAGUCUAGGAGGUUCAAAAAGAAGGGUUCUGCUGACUGUUUACACUGUGGUCUGUCUCCCAUGACUC